GUGGUUCAGAGUAGGGUUCAGGUGGUUCAGAGUAGGGUUCAGGUGGUUCAGGUGGUUCAGAGUAGGGUUCAGGUGGUUCAGAGUAGGGUUCAGGUGGUUCAGGUUUUCAUUUAUUUAUUUAUUUGUACAGGGACCGGACACAUUAAUCAACCCAUGGGUAAAUGUGUUAACGUUAGCUAAGGCUAAAUUUCAGCUUUGGUCCCUGUGGCCAGAUGUUACAGCCUUCACUAAAGGAGUAAGAGGUUAACGCGGUAACAUAAUAGAAAAGCAGUAAACAUACAGGUUACGAUAAAAUACUGGCCUCUUCAUAAAAUCAUUAAAACAGAAAAUAAUUUAUUUUUAUUUUUUAAAAGACAUAAAAACAAUAAUUAUUAACACAAUCACUGAGGAGGGAGUCACAGUUCAUGCUCACACAUCUGACUGGUAAAAAGCCAGUUCUUCAGGCUGUGUUUAAAAGAGUAAAAAGUUCUGCUGGUGCGUAUAUUCAGAGGCAGGCUUUCCAGAGCUGUCCUGCUUUCACUGAAAAGGCAGACUGACUAAAAGAACUCCUCCUAAAUGGGAUGACGCAGUCGCCUCUCUCCACAGAUCUAGUUUGUCUGCUACUCUGUGUUUUUUGUUUAAUAAAUUCACCAAGUGGGGGAGGAGCCAUAUCAUUAAAAACUUUAAAAACGAGACACAUAUUGGCGAGUUUAAUGAGGUUAUCCCAGUUCAGGAGACUGUAUUGAGUUAAAAUGGCACAGUGGUGAUAACUCCUGGGCUUCUGAUCCAGUAUUUUUAGAGCUUGCUUAUGCAGGAUUUGAAUUGGUUUCAGAGUGGUGCUGCUGGCUUGAGCCCAGCUGGUUAAGCAGUAGGUCAGAUAUGGAAUGAUGAUUGCGUUAAAGUACAGUUUUGCAGUAUCUAUGUUUAAGUUAUUUCCUAUGUAUUUGAAAUUGAUUAAAUGAAAUCUGACAACCUUU